rnacentral:rRNA from 1 species
AGAGUUUGAUCCUGGCUCAGGAUGAACGCUAGCGGCAGGCUUAACACAUGCAAGUCGAGGGGCAGCAUAAUGGAUAGCAAUAUCUAUGGUGGCGACCGGCGCACGGGUGCGUAACGCGUAUGCAACCUACCUUUAACAGGGGGAUAACACUGAGAAAUUGGUACUAAUACCCCAUAAUAUCAUAGAAGGCAUCUUUUAUGGUUGAAAAUUCCGAUGGUUAGAGAUGGGCAUGCGUUGUAUUAGCUAGUUGGUGGGGUAACGGCUCACCAAGGCGACGAUACAUAGGGGGACUGAGAGGUUAACCCCCCACACUGGUACUGAGACACGGACCAGACUCCUACGGGAGGCAGCAGUGAGGAAUAUUGGUCAAUGGACGCAAGUCUGAACCAGCCAUGCCGCGUGCAGGAUGACGGCUCUAUGAGUUGUAAACUGCUUUUGUACGAGGGUAAACGCAGAUACGUGUAUCUGUCUGAAAGUAUCGUACGAAUAAGGAUCGGCUAACUCCGUGCCAGCAGCCGCGGUAAUACGGAGGAUUCAAGCGUUAUCCGGAUUUAUUGGGUUUAAAGGGUGCGUAGGCGGUUUGAUAAGUUAGAGGUGAAAUUUCGGGGCUCAACCCUGAACGUGCCUCUAAUACUGUUGAGCUAGAGAGUAGUUGCGGUAGGCGGAAUGUAUGGUGUAGCGGUGAAAUGCUUAGAGAUCAUACAGAACACCGAUUGCGAAGGCAGCUUACCAAACUAUAUCUGACGUUGAGGCACGAAAGCGUGGGGAGCAAACAGGAUUAGAUACCCUGGUAGUCCACGCAGUAAACGAUGAUAACUCGUUGUCGGCGAUACACAGUCGGUGACUAAGCGAAAGCGAUAAGUUAUCCACCUGGGGAGUACGUUCGCAAGAAUGAAACUCAAAGGAAUUGACGGGGGCCCGCACAAGCGGAGGAACAUGUGGUUUAAUUCGAUGAUACGCGAGGAACCUUACCCGGGCUUGAAAGUUAGCGACGAUUCUUGAAAGAGGAUUUCCCUUCGGGGCGCGAAACUAGGUGCUGCAUGGUUGUCGUCAGCUCGUGCCGUGAGGUGUCGGGUUAAGUCCCAUAACGAGCGCAACCCCUACCGUUAGUUGCCAUCAGGUGAAGCUGGGCACUCUGGCGGGACUGCCGGUGUAAGCCGAGAGGAAGGUGGGGAUGACGUCAAAUCAGCACGGCCCUUACGUCCGGGGCUACACA